UAAAGGCAACAUGUAAAUGAUGGAUUAUCAAAUCAAUCAUUGUUUAUGACACUGAACUUCUGAACACAUUGUCCCUGACUGUGUGUGAAUAAAGACUUUAUACUGCUGACUCGUCAUUGUUUGUUGUGUCUCACUGAUGUCAAACUUUACAAACUUCAGACUGACUCUACUUUUUCUACUGAGUCUGAUAAAACAAGGUGACCAGCUUCAUUUAUUUGUUGUUUUACAGCACAAUGAAAUGUGAGCUGUCGCUCCUUCACACUGCGCACACACACACACACACACACACACACACACACACACACACACACAAAGCAUAUCUACACACAUUUUCAUUCCAUAAUAUAUGCAGUUACUUAUAUAGAAAUGAUCAUUAUGGAUGGUUUGUUAAAUGUGUUUAAAACUCAUUUCAGCUCUAAGUUUGACUUUUCUCUGUCUAAUGCGUCUUCUCUGUCUUUAUGUCUCUCUUGUGUUUUGUGCUCUGCUUGGUGCUCUUUGCUGCUGUGGAGCUUUGUGUCUCCAGGGCUGCAGACCUGUUUGGAGGGUCAUCAGCAGCAGGAGUCACACCUGGGCCAGGUUCAAAGAUGGACAUCACCCUCUUGAUCAAAGUGAUUUUGGAGAGGUCUGAGGUGUCUCGUGACGAGCUGGUCUGAGCAGACUGAAACACAAGUGAACAUAACGUGUGCUUGGACGGUACCUGCUCUGCCUCCAGCAGCAGCCGGCUGAUAGAACGCACAGUAAUAAAUGUACCUGUGAGUCACAAGAACAUGGCUGAUGCUUCCAUGGACACGUUACUCCAACUGGUCUCCGCCAACCUCUCCAUUCACACUGUGAGACUCUUUAAGAACAACAUUGUGGACAGAACAUCUGUAAAGAAACACAAGCAGAUUGAAAUGUGGUGAACCGGUCGUCAGCGUGCUGGUACUGUGCUCAUCAGGUAAUCGCUGUUUUAUGUUUAAUAUUUAUUUCUUGUCCCGAAAGUACUGUAGAUUAAUUUCUUAUGGUGUUCAUAUUUGUGGUUGACACCAUGUGAUAAUUCUCCCCACAUCAGAUUGUUCUGUUGGGAUCAUGACUUCAUUAUUUUUGUAUUGUGGCAAAACAAGCAGACAGAAUUUAUCAUUGUGGGAAAAAUUAUUUUUAAUUUGGAUGCAGAGCAGUACUAUUCUGAAGUAGUGUAAAAAUGGACAGCUGUAAAUAUACUAAAAAAUACUUGAUAUAAAAGAGUCAAAUGCCUGUAACCACAUUAUUUCAUUGAGUUAUGUAUGUCUGAUUUACAUUUAUUACAGUCAUGUUAGAGAGUAUACGAAUUAAAAUUAAAAAUAAAUAAAACCACUUAUCUAAUUUAAAUUUUAAUUAUAAUAUAAUAAUAAUAACAUAAUUUAUUUUACAUUAAAUUAAGAACAUUGAUAGCCAACUAAUUAAUUCAGUUGCUUAAAAUAUAUUAAACUAUCACUUGAGAGCUCUGAUUGAUAAUUAAAAAGAAUAAUUAUUCCCAAAAUGACCAUAUCAGUGGUAAAGAUUGAAUGAUUUUGGGGUUCUAAACACAGUAGUUUGUGAUUCGUUCAUUCUUGUGCAAAAUUAAACAGACAGCGAGUUUGAUCCUAAAAAACACUGAUUGAAAAGAAAGCACACAAAAACAAAGACAUAAUAUAGAGAAAAGCGGCAAUUCUGAGGUUCAAGCCAGCACAGACCUUUAAAAGUUGAAUGCUGGGUAGGAUCAAGAUCUUUGACAAUUUAGCGUGCCUGCAUUAGACAUAAAGAAAAGGUUUUAUGAUCAUCAGAGAGACAGUCAUUUACUUACAUCCAAAUCGUUACUGGGCCACGCUCUUCUUAAGAAACACAGUUGCUUCCGAUUGGUCAACAGCAGGAACAUUUUGGGGACCUGUUUUAAUGGCUGAGUUAAAAAGCCCACAGAGUUUGAUGAUGUGUGAACAAACCCUUUUUCAAAAUAAUUUAACACAUGUGGUUCAUCAUUAUUAUUCAACAUACCCUGCAACUUUUGUGAUAAUGUGACAAUCAGUUUCCGAUUUCUAGUCUGAUGUUAUCCCACAGACAUUUUUAUUUCUUUCUUUUGUGCAUUUGUGUUGCCCCCUAGUGGUCAAUUUAAACCAAACUUUCAGGAUGUGUUUCUGGUACCUCUGACAGCAUUACUUGAGAGGGUUGUGAUGAUUGGCUCAAAGGUUGUGGGGUUUUGAGCUAAGCCACGCCUCCUCUAAAGUUUAUUGGUCAUUGAAAACAAAAUAUAUAGAUAUCAAUAACAGUUCUCACAUCAUUCUGCUGAUUUCAGGUAUAUUGUCAAAUAUUUUGGUGACAUUUGGUUGAA